CAGCCGCCGCGGGAAUACGUAGGGGGCAAGCGUUAUCCGGAAUUACUGGGUGUAAAGGGAGCGUAGACGGCUAAACAAGUCUGAAGUGAAAUGCCGGGGCCCAACCCCGGAGCUGCUUUGGGAACUGUAGAACUGGAGUGUCGGAGGGGUAAGCGGAAUUCCCAGUGUAGCGGUGAAAUGCGUAGAUAUUGGGAGGAACACCGGCGGCGAAGGCGGCUUACUGGACGACAACUGACGUUGAGGCUCGAAGGCGUGGGUAGCAAACAGGAUUAGAUACCCCAGUAGUCCCUGUCUCUUAUAC
rnacentral:rRNA from 1 species